GGAGAAUGCAUACACGAAUGGUUUAGAGUGAAUCAUGAUGGUGGCAAAGACAAAAUAAGCUGUGAUGAGUUUCUGGAUUUGACUCUUGAGGAUGUCAGUAAUUGUAUAGAGCUUAUUUAUACUCCCAUCCGCAAAGAUACAUUAAAAGGAAGCUGUAGGAGCAUAUUGUCUUGCCCAGUCGCUCCUGGGGACCCAAUUGGUGUUGAAUUGUCAAUUCCUAAAUGCUGCGAGGGCGAGACAAUAGUUCCCAAUCAGAGAUACUUUGGAGGGAAAGAAGGUGAUAGUGAAUAUGUUUGGUAUCGGAGUAAGAAUAAGCUUCAUGAAUCUGCUCUACUGAACUUGCCUAGCAUUACAGAGGAUGUACAUAUUUGUGCAAGAACUUUAUCAUAUACGCCAUCGCUUGAAGAUGUGGGAGCAUAUUUGUCAUUAUAUUGGUUGCCAAUUCGCAUUGACGGCAAAUCUGGGAACCCAUUAGCAUCAGUUUGCGAGUCUCCAGUCUCCCCAGCUUUUCCAGUAGUUUCUAAUGUUCAUGCAAAGGAGCUCUCAUCCAGUAGUUACCUUGGGGAAGGAGAAUAUUUUGGUGGUCAUGAAGGAACAAGCUUAUUUAGCUGGUACAGAGAAACUGAUGAGGGAACAAUCACUCUCAUCAAUGGAGCAUGUUCUAAAACUUAUGAAGUUGUAGAUGAAGAUUACAGUUGUCGUUUACUUUUCGGAUAUACGCCAGUUCGUUCAGAUUCAAUUAUUGGUGAACAUCAGUUAUCCGAGCCAACUCAUGUGAUUCUCCCAGAUAUUCCAAGAAUUGAGACGGUGGCUCUUACUGGGAAAGCUGUUGAAGGAGAUAUACUAACUGCUGUUGAAAUUAUUCCAAAGAGUGAAAUUCAAGAGCGUGUAUGGGCAAAAUAUAGGAAGGAUAUCAAAUAUACUUGGUUCAUUUCGACUGAAACAGGAAAUAAUAAGUCCUUUGAGCCAUUACCAUCACAACGUUCUUGCUCAUACAGGUUACGAUUUGAGGACAUAGGUCGCUCUCUUAGAUGUGAAUGCAUCGUGUCUGAUGUUUUUGGAAGGUCAAGUGAUCCAGUGUAUGCUGAAACUCCUUCAGUUUCACCAGGUAUCCCUCGGAUGGAUAAGCUGGACAUUGAAGGAAGAGGUUUUCACACCAAUCUGUAUGCUGUUCGUGGCGUUUAUAGUGGCGGAAAGGAGGGCAAAAGCAAAAUUCAGUGGCUUAGAUCCAUGGUUGGAAGUCCUGACCUCAUCUCCAUUCCUGGGGAGACAGGAAGAAUGUAUGAAGCUAAUGUUGAUGACGUGGGUUAUAGGCUGGUCGUGAUAUAUACACCAGUAAGAGAAGACGGAGUUGAGGGGCAUCCUGUUUCUGCUUCUACAGAUCCAAUUGCAAUUGAG
rnacentral:misc_RNA from 1 species